rnacentral:rRNA from 1 species
ACGGAGGGUGCGAGCGUUGUCCGGAAUCACUGGGCGUAAAGGGCGCGUAGGCGGCCCAGUAAGCGUGUGGUGAAAGCUCAGGGCUCAACCUCGAGUCGGCCAUGCGAACUGCGGGGCUCGAGCCCACUAGAGGCAGGCGGAAUUCCGGGUGUAGCGGUGGAAUGCGUAGAGAUCCGGAAGAACACCGGUGGCGAAGGCGGCCUACUGGGGUGGAGCUGACGCUGAGGCGCGACAGCGUGGGGAGCAAACAGGA